AUGCGCAGCUCGUGGGGCAUCCUCGCCGCCGUCUCCGGACACCUCACCGUCCGUCAAGCUUCAGCGGCUCCUGGUCACCACUCCCUCCCCGUGCGCACGCUCCAAACCCUAGCCCAGAGGGAGCCUGUGUGCCUCAAGAAGCUGUCGGCACCCGACACCGGGGUCCUGGAGCUGACGCUGCAGCGGCCAGAGGUGAAGAACGCCAUCAGUUGGGAGUUGAUGACAAGGCUGCGGGGCGCGAUCCACAAGAUUGAGGCCGACGCGACGGCCAAGGUUGUCCUUGUUGCGAGCUCCGUACCGGGAGUCUUCUGCGCAGGCGCCGAUCUCAAGGAAAGGAGGCACAUGAGCUCUUCACAGGUUAAAGAAUAUGCUAAUUCCUUAAGGUCUACAUUCUCGUACUUUGAGGCACUCUCCAUUCCAACAAUCGCCGUCAUUGAAGGAGCUGCUUUGGGUGGUGGGCUAGAACUUGCUCUGUCAUGUGAUCUGCGUAUAUGUGGAGAAAAUGCAACCCUUGGACUGCCAGAGACAGGCCUUGCUAUUAUUCCUGGAGCCGGGGGUACGCAGCGUCUUCCAAGGAUCAUCGGAAAGUCCAGAGCGAAGGAGCUGAUAUUCACAGGCCGCAGAUGCGACGCAACUGAAGCUGUCUUGAUGGGAUUAGCAAACUACUGCGUUCCAGCAGGGGAGGCCUACGGCAAAGCUCUUGAACUCGCCCGUGAGAUAACGAAGAAAGGCCCUCUGGGGGUAAGAAUGGCCAAGAAGGCCAUCGACCAAGGGAUGGAGGUAGCAGACAUGCGCUCCGCUUUGGCUGUCGAAGGGGAAUGCUACGAGCAGCUGCUGCACACGCAGGAUCGCCUCGAGUGCCUGGCUGCAUUCGCUGAGAAGAGGGAGCCCGUGUACACUGGAGAGUAG
rnacentral:rRNA from 1 species